rnacentral:rRNA from 1 species
GACGAACGCUGGCGGCGUGCCUAAUACAUGCAAGUCGAACGCUUCUUUCCUCCCGAGUGCUUGCACUCAAUUGGAAAGAGGAGUGGCGGACGGGUGAGUAACACGUGGGUAACCUACCCAUCAGAGGGGGAUAACACUUGGAAACAGGUGCUAAUACCGCAUAACAGUUUAUGCCGCAUGGCAUAAGAGUGAAAGGCGCUUUCGGGUGUCGCUGAUGGAUGGACCCGCGGUGCAUUAGCUAGUUGGUGAGGUAACGGCUCACCAAGGCCACGAUGCAUAGCCAACCUGAGAGGGUGAUCGGCCACACUGGGACUGAGACACGGCCCAGACUCCUACGGGAGGCAGCAGUAGGGAAACUUCGGCAAUGGACGAAAGUCUGACCGAGCAACGCCGCGUGAGUGAAGAAGGUUUUCGGAUCGUAAAACUCUGUUGUUAGAGAAGAACAAGGACGUUAGUAACUGAACGUCCCCUGACGGUAUCUAACCAGAAAGCCACGGCUAACUACGUG